rnacentral:rRNA from 1 species
GCAUAUCAAUAAGCGGAGGAAAAGAAACCAACAGGGAUUGCCCUUAGUAACGGCGAAGUGAAGCGGCAACAGCUCAAAUUUGAAAUCUGGCUCUUUCAGAGUCCGAGUUGUAAUUUGCAGAGGGCGCUUUGGCUUUGGCAGCGGUCCAAGUUCCUUGGAACAGGACGUCACAGAGGGUGAGAAUCCCGUACGUGGUCGCUAGCUAUUGCCGUGUAAAGCCCCUUCGACGAGUCGAGUUGUUUGGGAAUGCAGCUCUAAAUGGGAGGUAAAUUUCUUCUAAAGCUAAAUAUUGGCCAGAGACCGAUAGCGCACAAGUAGAGUGAUCGAAAGAUGAAAAGCACUUUGGAAAGAGAGUCAAACAGCACGUGAAAUUGUUGAAAGGGAAGCGCUUGCAGCCAGACUUGCUUGCAGUUGCUCAUCCGGGCUUUUGCCCGGUGCACUCUUCUGUAGGCAGGCCAGCAUCAGUUUGGGCGGUGGGAUAAAGGUCUCUGUCACGUACCUCUCUUCGGGGAGGCCUUAUAGGGGAGACGACAUACCACCAGCCUAGACUGAGGUCCGCGCAUCUGCUAGGAUGCUGGCGUAAUGGCUGUAAGCGGCCCGUCUUGAAACACGGACCAAGGAGUCUAACAUCUAUGCGAGUGUUUGGGUGUCAAGCCCGAGCGCGUAAUGAAAGUGAACGGAGGUGGGAACCCGCAAGGGUGCACCAUCGACCGAUCCUGAAGUUUACGGAAGGAUUUGAGUAAGAGCAUGGCUGUUGGGACCCGAAAGAUGGUGAACUAUGCUUGAAUAGGGUGAAGCCAGAGGAAACUCUGGUGGAGGCUCGCAGCGGUUCUGCGUGCAAAUCGAUCGUCAAAUUUGGGCAUAGGGGGCGAAAGACUAAUCGAACUAUCUAGUAGCUGGUUCCUGC